rnacentral:rRNA from 1 species
GACGAACGCUGGCGGCGUGCCUAAUACAUGCAAGUCGAACGCAGUGGGGACGGGUGAGUAACACGUGGGUAACCUCCCAUCAGAGGGGAUAACACUUGGCAACAGGUGCUAAACCGAUACUGAUGGAUGGACCCGCGGUGCAUUAGCUAGUUGGUGAGGUAACGGCUCACCAAGGCCACGAUGCAUAGUCGGCCGGGGGGGUGGAUCGGCAAACCGGGGACGGAGAAAGGGCCAAGCCCCCUAGGGGAGGCAGCAGGAGGGAAUUUGCGGCAAGGGACGAAAGUCUGACCGAGCAAGGCCGGGUGAGGGAAGAAGGUUUUCGGAUCGUAAAACCCUGUGGUUAGAGAAGGGGUAUCGAACCAGAAAGCCACGGCUAAUUACGUGCCAGCAGCCGCGGUAAUU